UGGCUAAGUACAGACUAACAGGUGGCAGAAGUAGACAAGUACACAUACAUUACUAGCUGAACCACAAAGACACAUAAGUGCACUUUAGUUCUUGGAAGCUCAUGAUCACCAGCUGACCCAUCUAUGCAUGGCAUUCACGUGAAGAAAAUCUCAUAGUCACACCACUCUAUUAAUGUACAUAUCUUUUAUUCAAGGCCGAGUCUGCUCAUUUUGUUUCAACAUACAAGAAUGGACACUUUUCCCUCCUCCUUUUCUCUUUCUCUCAAGAAGAUCAAAACGGCCGCUUCUUCACAAGAUAAAUAGGAACCUGAGGAUUGGAAAGAUAAGUCUCCAAUAAUUGGUUUAAUGUUGAUAAUCAUGAGUUUUUUCUUACCUAUUUCCUAGGCUGUAUUAUUUCUCUAAACAACAAGCUGACACUCGUAGGGCACUGGCACUAAAGGGGGCUGGGGCUUGGCUAUUAGGGGCGGGGCCAGGAGCCAUUAGUCUAUCUAUACCACCACCUAUCAUGACCUAUGGCUAAUGAUCUGUAUGUUGCUGCAGUGUUGUGUGCAGUUAAUUUUUGACUGAAAUCAAAUACUGUCUACGCAUACAGAACUUGAUGGUACUCAGUCUGCUUCCUGGUAUUGACCAAAAAACUUACAGCUGUUUUCCUGUCUGCCUAGUUUGUUUACUGAUUAAAAUGUUAAUUAUUGCUAAAAUUAAUUAAAUUAUCAUAAGUAAUAGACCCCUCCC